AUGUCAUCGUAUGACUCAUGCCUCGUCCACAUCUCUUCAAACCUGAAACAGCGCACAACAUUUGGCUUAUUUGCAAAAUUCUCUCGGACACGAAUGGCCAGUGCCAUAUGGUCGGAUUCUUCCGUCAAUAUGUGCUCCACUGCUGUUCCAGAAUAUAAUUGCAUGAACUCGCUAGUGCAAGUAGCUCUAUCCAAUGGUACUUGUAUAUUAUCAGGAGGGUCACGCUUAUUAUCCCUGUAUACCCAAUGUCCGCCAGUGCGCACAUGUCCAGGCACUCACGAAAUUGCUCCAUCUGGCUAA
rnacentral:rRNA from 1 species